GUGUUCGGAUUGCGGCGACGUGAGCGGUCCGCCGCCCGCGACGUCGCAAGAAGUCCACUGAACCUUAUCAUUUAGAGGAAGGAGAAGUCGUAACAAGGUUUCCGUAGGUGAACCUGCGGAAGGAUCAUUGUCGAAUCCUGAAAAACAGACCGCGAACACGUUUUAUAAACCGCGGGGCGCGGGAGGACUCUUGUCCGCCCGUGCCCCCGAACCCAACCAAACUUCCGGCGCGGAAAGCGCCAAGGACUACUUAAAAACGGACUGUCCGCGUCCCCCGACGGUUUCCGCCGGCCGGGCGCGCGUCGUCUGAAUCGUAACUAACACGACUCUCGGCAACGGAUAUCUAGGCUCUCGCAUCGAUGAAGAACGUAGCGAAAUGCGAUACUUGGUGUGAAUUGCAGAAUCCCGUGAACCAUCGAGUUUUUGAACGCAAGUUGCGCCCGAAGCCAUUAGGCCGAGGGCACGCCUGCCUGGGCGUCGCGCAUCGUCGCCACCCCCCCUCUUCUCUCCCAAAGAAAGAAGCUGGGGCGGGUGACGGAUGUUGGCCUCCCGUUUCUCUAGCGGCCGGCCUAAAUCGGAGUCCUCGCUUCGGGACGUCACGGCAAGUGGUGGUUGAAAAUGCUCAACUCGAUCGGAGCCGCGACGCGUACCGUCGUCGAGACCUCGGAGACCCUGAGGCCGCAAUAACUACGGCCCUCGACCAUGACCC
rnacentral:misc_RNA from 1 species